UACAGAGGGGGCAAGCGUUGUUCGGAAUUACUGGGCGUAAAGGGCGCGUAGGCGGCCUGCUAAGUCGAACGUGAAAUCCCCGGGCUCAACCCGGGAACUGCGUCCGAUACUGGCAGGCUUGAAUCCGGGAGAGGGAUGUGGAAUUCCAGGUGUAGCGGUGAAAUGCGUAGAUAUCUGGAGGAACACCGGUGGCGAAGGCGGCAUCCUGGACCGACACUGACGCUGAGGAGCGAAAGCCAGGGAGCAAAGCGGG
rnacentral:rRNA from 1 species